UACGUAGGGUGCGAGCGUUGCCCGGAUUUAUUGGGCGUAAAGGGCGCGUAGGCGGUGUGUCACGUCGGCCGUGAAAACCUGCAGCUUAACUGUGGGCGUGCGGUCGAUACGGGCAUCACUGGAGUUCGGCAGGGGAGACUGGAAUUCCUGGUGUAGCGGUGAAAUGCGCAGAUAUCAGGAGGAACACCGGUGGCGAAGGCGGGUCUCUGGGCCGAUACUGACGCUGAGGAGCGAAAGCGUGGGGAGCGAACAGG
rnacentral:rRNA from 1 species